rnacentral:tRNA from 1 species
GGGAAUGUAGCUCAAAUGGUAGAGCGCUCGCUUUGCAUGUGAGAGGCACGGGGUUGGGGUUCGAUCCCCCGCAUCUCCA